AUACGUUUGACAGCACUGCCAUCAUUUUAGUUCACUGAUAUACAUACCGUUUUUCAGUCUACUUCAAGUUUGCUUAAUAUUUAUUGGUUAGAAGUGUUAUGUUAAAAAUGGAGACCCCAAGCGAGUUUACCGAAAAGCAGCCACCCACUCAUGACCACCAGCCUCGUCUGAAUGAGGUGGCACAAAAGUUUCUGGCCGAUUUGGACGAGGAGCGUCAGCGUUUGUCCGCGGAGUUUCCACUAUGCGCACUGCUAAUCGACGAAGCUGUGGACCGUGUCUACUGCACUGGUCGUAUUCCCGGCAAGGAGUUCUACGCGGACGUGUACAAGCAGAAGCCGAUGAAGAUAACCCAGAAGGUCUUUGUGCCCGUUAAGCAGUAUCCCAAGUUCAACUUCACUGGGAAGAUCCUGGGACCCAAGGGCAACUCGCUGCGUCGUCUUCAGGAGGAGACCCAGUGCAAGAUUGCCAUUAAGGGUCGCAGUUCGAUACGCGAUCGCAACAAAGAGGAGCAGCUGCGCAGCACUGGCGACCCGAGAUAUGCCCAUCUUCAGAAGGAUCUCUUUCUGGAGGUCAGCACGGUGGCCACACCGGCGGAGUGCUAUGCCCGCAUAGCGUACGCCCUGGCCGAGAUCCGUAAGUAUCUUAUUCCAGACAAGAACGACGAGGUUUCGCAUGAGCAGCUGCGCGAGCUAAUGGAAAUGGAUCCCGAGUCGGCCAAGAGCAUUCACGGACCCAAUCUGGAGGCCUAUAGAUCUGUCUUCGACAAGAAGUUUGGUGGCAGCAGCAAUGGGGCGCCCAAGUACAUCAACUUAAUUAAGCGAGCUGCGGAAAAUCCGCCCGAAGUCGAUGAUGUAGAGGAGGUGGCCUAUGAGUAUGAACAUCGUAUGCCUCCCAAGCGUCCCACUACGGGCUAUGAGUACAGCAAACGUAAGUGGAACCCAAGCAUGCAUUCUUAAUUUGUUUCUUAGUGCCGGGGCCUAUUACACUCCCCCAUUUUGAGGGGAUGCACCUUUGAUUUGAAUCUUGGGUCACAGAAUAGAUUAUAGUAUCAAAACCGAUAACAGUGAAUGAGCAAGAUCUUGAAACAAACUAUAUAACACUCUGGAAUGAUUAAUAUUAAAGAACAAACCACUUCCUAUACACGUCCAUCAAUAAUACCGACAAACGCAGCGGCAUAUAAACGUCCAUAUCCGACUGACAUGAAACGUAUGCGCGAACCGCCCAUCA
rnacentral:misc_RNA from 1 species